rnacentral:lncRNA from 12 species
CUGUGUGUUUCCUUGGUUUUAAAAUUUUCUUUCUCUGAAAAGAAUAUUUACGGCUUUGCUUUAUACCCCAAGGAGCCAGUACACCUCAUGGUCCUGCUCCUGAUGGUUUUUGGAAGUUUUCCUAAGUGGAUGAAAUGAUACCCAUCUUUCUGUUACUUACUGCCCAGAUCUGUAAUUAUUA